rnacentral:rRNA from 1 species
UACGUAGGGUGCAAGCGUUGUCCGGAAUUAUUGGGCGUAAAGAGCUCGUAGGCGGUCUGUCGCGUCGGCUGUGAAAACCCGGGGCUCAACCCCGGGCCUGCAGUCGAUACGGGCAGACUAGAGUGCGGUAGGGGAGACUGGAAUUCCUGGUGUAGCGGUGAAAUGCGCAGAUAUCGGGAAGAACACCCGUGGCGAAGGCGGCACUCUGGGACGGUACUGACGCUGAGACGCGAAAGCGUGGGGAGCGAACAGG